AACGAACGCUGGUGGUAUGCUUAACACAUGCAAGUCGAACGGGUUUAAAGGGGCAACUCUUUAAAUCAGUGGCAAACGGGUGAGUAAUACAUAGGAAUCUACCUAGCAGUAAGGAACAACCUUGAGAAAUCAAGGCUAAUGCCAUAUAUUACCGAUUUAUCGGGAAAGAUUUAUCGCUGUUAGAUGAGCCUUUGUCGGAUUAGCUAGUUGGUGGGGGUAAUGGCCCACCAAGGCAAUGAUCCGUAGCUGGUCUGAGAGGAUGAUCAGCCACAUUGGGACUGCGACACGGCCCAAACUCCUACGGGAGGCAGCAGUGGGGACUAUUGGACAAUGGACGCAAGUCUGAUCCAGCAAUACCACGUGAGUGAUGAAGGCCUUCGGGUUGUAAAACUCUUUUAGUAGGGAAGAUAAUGACGGUACCUACAGAAAAAGCACCGGCUAACUUCGUGCCAGCCGCCGCCGUAA
rnacentral:rRNA from 1 species